rnacentral:rRNA from 1 species
GUGUCAGCCGCCGCGGUAAUACGAAGGGAGCUAGCGUUGUUCGGAAUCACUGGGCGUAAAGCGCACGUAGGCGGAUGUGUCAGUCAGGGGUGAAAUCCCGGAGCUCAACUUCGGAACUGCCUUUGAUACAGCACAUCUGGAGUCCGGAAGAGGUGGGUGGAAUUCCUAGUGUAGAGGUGAAAUUCGUAGAUAUUAGGAAGAACACCGGUGGCGAAGGCGGCCCACUGGUCCGGUACUGACGCUGAGGUGCGAAAGCGUGGGGAGCAAACAGGAUUAGAUACCCUAGUAGUCC